CAUGCCGCGUGCAGGAAGACUGCCCUAUGGGUUGUAAACUGCUUUUAUACAGGAAGAAAAAGGUGUACGUGUACACUGUUGACGGUACUGUAAGAAUAAGGAUCGGCUAACUCCGUGCCAGCAGCCGCGGUAAUACGGAGGAUCCAAGCGUUAUCCGGAAUCAUUGGGUUUAAAGGGUCCGUAGGCGGGAUGAUAAGUCAGUGGUGAAAGUCUGCAGCUCAACUGUAGAAUUGCCAUUGAUACUGUUGUUCUUGAGUUAUUGUGAAGUGGUUAGAAUGAGUAGUGUAGCGGUGAAAUGCAUAGAUAUUACUCAGAAUACCGAUUGCGAAGGCAGAUCACUAACAAUGAACUGACGCUGAUGGACGAAAGCGUAGGUAGCGAACAGGAUUAGAUACCCUGGUAGUCUACGCCGUAAACGAUGGUUACUAGCUGUUCGGACUAAUUGUGGUCUGAGUGGCUAAGCGAAAGUGAUAAGUAACCCACCUGGGGAGUACGUUCGCAAGAAUGAAACUCAAA
rnacentral:rRNA from 1 species